AAUGUCCUUUGUCUUAUAAUUUACUUAAACAGGUAAUGUUCUAAGUGAGUCCAGUCUCAUCACUUGAGAAGAUUGUCCUCUUCUCUUUUUUUUAAACCAGUUAAUUUUCAUUAAAUCACAAACAUUUUCAACUGCAUUUAAACAUACUUUUUGCAUCUUAUUUCAGUUUAUAAAGAUGAAAUAGUUUUCCACUGAUCCACCAAAUCUUAGGUUGAAGAGGACUCUUUUUAAAAUUCUCUCUCCAUCCCUCUGCCCACCUAAUCGACAAUCCUAGAUCAACAUUCAACAUUCUCGUCAGUUACAGGCAAAGCACCAAGUGAACACUGGAGACAUCAUUCAUGCAGUCUAGUUAAUACAGUCCUGGUGUGACAAGAAUUUCACAUGCUUCAAACACCUUGGCCAGUUUGUCAGCGUAAACCACUCUCGGAUUAGCGGGCGCUCCUACCACCGGCUCACGACUACUACCGCUUCCCAUAAUGAUCAGGAAAAUGUGUGAAGCUUUACAAAUACAUAGUUUUUACCAAAAAAAAAACU